GCCGGGGUGGCAGAGCGGCAAAUGCGCCGGACUCGAAAUCCGGUUCUCCUUAUAGGAGAGUGGGGGUUCAAAUCCCCUCCCCGGCGCCA
rnacentral:tRNA from 1 species